rnacentral:rRNA from 1 species
UAUAGGAUGCCUGAACUAAGGGUUAUUUUGAUAGAAUAAUUAUGCAUUAUUGCUUCUAUAGUUAAUAUAAAAAUGUCUCACUAGACUUUGUACCUUUUGCAUUAUGGAUUAACAAAGAAAAAUAUUAUAAGCCGUCCCGAUAAGACAUAUCAACAACUACUAACCAAUUAGAUGGAAUACUAAUUAAAAAAUUAGUUGUCAAUAUGAUAGGUAAUAAUGUCUUUAAUCUGGUUCUUCAAAAAUUAAAAUAUUACUAAUGAUUUAGUAAUUAACUAAACUGCCUUAAAGGUAGUUUAGUCACUGUAAAAUUUAUUAAAUUAAUAUACUAAGACUAAUAAUAUCUUUUAUUUUAAUAAAUCGCUAUUGAUAAAUAUUAUUUACUUUUUUCUCUUUUAUUGAAGGUUAAAACUACAACUUAAGCAUGUUAGUAUUAGUAAUCUUAAAGUCUAUAAAAAUUAUUAAUAAUUUUUAUGUGUUAAAAUUUUAAUGUAAGAAUAAUAACUUGGAAACAUAAAAACUGUUUAUCAAAAACAUAGUAAAAUAUUAUUUUAUAUAUCUGCCCAAUGAUAAUUAUUAAAUGGCCCUAAUGUAGCGUAAUAACUAGUUUAUUAAUUGUAAACCUGUAUGAAUGAUAGUAUUUUAUGAGUAUGUUUUUUCUUACUCCUAUGAACUUAAAAUAUAAGUGCAAAUGCUUAUGUAACUCUUAAAGACGAUAAGACCCUAAGACCUUUACUAAGUUUUACUGGGAUAGUUUGUGAUAAAAAUAAAAUAAGAAUAAUUUUAUUAAACCAUUUUUAUGCUAAUAAAGGUACCUUAGGGAUAACAGCGCGACGCACUUUUCAAGUCCUUAUUUAAAAUGUGCUAGUGACCUCGAUGUUGAAUUAAGUAAUUAGCACAGCUGCAGCAGGUUUUGUUUAGGGUCUGUUCGACCUCUAAUACUUACAUGAUUUGAGUUAAAAUCGACGCAAGUCAGAUUGGUUUCUAUCUUAAGAUUAAGACUUUAAAAAUAGUACGAAAGGAACUUUUUAAGUAUUUAAACUUUAUUUAAAGCUUAGAGCUAU